rnacentral:rRNA from 1 species
UACGAAGGGGGCUAGCGUUGCUCGGAAUCACUGGGCGUAAAGGGUGCGUAGGCGGGUCUUUAAGUCAGGGGUGAAAUCCUGGAGCUCAACUCCAGAACUGCCUUUGAUACUGAGGAUCUUGAGUUCGGGAGAGGUGAGUGGAACUGCGAGUGUAGAGGUGAAAUUCGUAGAUAUUCGCAAGAACACCAGUGGCGAAGGCGGCUCACUGGCCCGAUACUGACGCUGAGGCACGAAAGCGUGGGGAACAAACAGG